UCCAUCGAAAAUGUUGAGCAGAAUAGCC
rnacentral:piRNA from 1 species